rnacentral:rRNA from 1 species
AAUACGGAGGGUGCGAGCGUUAAUCGGAAUUACUGGGCGUAAAGCGCAUGCAGGUGGUUUGUUAAGUCAGAUGUGAAAGCCCGGGGCUCAACCUCGGAAUUGCAUUUGAAACUGGCAGACUAGAGUACUGUAGAGGGGGGUAGAAUUUCAGGUGUAGCGGUGAAAUGCGUAGAGAUCUGAAGGAAUACCGGUGGCGAAGGCGGCCCCCUGGACAGAUACUGACACUCAGAUGCGAAAGCGUGGGGAGCAAACAGGAUUAGAUACCCUGGUAGUCCACGCCGUAAACGAUGUCUACUUGGAGGUUGUGGCCUUGAGCCGUGGCUUUCGGAGCUAACGCGUUAAGUAGACCGCCUGGGGAGUACGGUCGCAAGAUUAAAACUCAAAUGAAUUGACGGGGGCCCGCACAAGCGGUGGAGCAUGUGGUUUAAUUCGAUGCAACGCGAAGAACCUUACCUACUCUUGACAUCCAGAGAACUUUCCAGAGAUGGAUUGGUGCCUUCGGGAACUCUGAGACAGGUGCUGCAUGGCUGUCGUCAGCUCGUGUUGUGAAAUGUUGGGUUAAGUCCCGCAACGAGCGCAACCCUUAUCCUUGUUUGCCAGCGAGUAAUGUCGGGAACUCCAGGGAGACUGCCGGUGAUAAACCGGAGGAAGGUGGGGACGACGUCAAGUCAUCAUGGCCCUUACGAGUAGGGCUACACACGUGCUACAAUGGCGCAUACAGAGGGCAGCCAACUUGCGAGAGUGAGCGAAUCCCAAAAAGUGCGUCGUAGUCCGGAUCGGAGUCUGCAACUCGACUCCGUGAAGUCGGAAUCGCUAGUAAUCGUGGAUCAGAAUGCCACGGUGAAUACGUUCCCGGGCCUUGUACACACCGCCCGUCACACCAUGGGAGUGGGCUGCAAAAGAAGUAGGUAGUUUAACCUUCGGGAGGACGCUUACCACUUUGUGGUUCAUGACUGG